CAAGGCUGAGGCGUGAUGACGAGGCACUACGGUGCUGAAGCAACAAAUGCCCUGCUUCCAGGAAAAGCCUCUAAGCAUCAGGUAACAUCAAAUCGUACCCCAAACCGACACAGGUGGUCAGGUAGAGAAUACCAAGGCGCUUGAGAGAACUCGGGUGAAGGAACUAGGCAAAAUGGUGCCGUAACUUCGGGAGAAGGCACGCUGAUAUGUAGGUGAAGCGACUUGCUCGUGGAGCUGAAAUCAGUCGAAGAUACCAGCUGGCUGCAACUGUUUAUUAAAAACACAGCACUGUGCAAACACGAAAGUGGACGUAUACGGUGUGACGCCUGCCCGGUGCCGGAAGGUUAAUUGAUGGGGUUAGCGGUAACGCGAAGCUCUUGAUCGAAGCCCCGGUAAACGGCGGCCGUAACUAUAACGGUCCUAAGGUAGCGAAAUUCCUUGUCGGGUAAGUUCCGACCUGCACGAAUGGCGUAAUGAUGGCCAGGCUGUCUCCACCCGAGACUCAGUGAAAUUGAACUCGCUGUGAAGAUGCAGUGUACCCGCGGCAAGACGGAAAGACCCCGUGAACCUUUACUAUAGCUUGACACUGAACAUUGAGCCUUGAUGUGUAGGAUAGGUGGGAGGCUUUGAAGUGUGGACGCCAGUCUGCAUGGAGCCGACCUUGAAAUACCACCCUUUAAUGUUUGAUGUUCUAACGUUGGCCCGUUAUCCGGGUUGCGGACAGUGUCUGGUGGGUAGUUUGACUGGGGCGGUCUCCUCCUAAAGAGUAACGGAGGAGCACGAAGGUUGGCUAAUCCUGGUCGGACAUCAGGAGGUUAGUGCAAUGGCAUAAGCCAGCUUGACUGCGAGCGUGACGGCGCGAGCAGGUGCGAAAGCAGGUCAUAGUGAUCCGGUGGUUCUGAAUGGAAGGGCCAUCGCUCAACGGAUAAAAGGUACUCCGGGGAUAACAGGCUGAUACCGCCCAAGAGUUCAUAUCGACGGCGGUGUUUGGCACCUCGAUGUCGGCUCAUCACAUCCUGGGGCUGAAGUAGGUCCCAAGGGUAUGGCUGUUCGCCAUUUAAAGUGGUACGCGAGCUGGGUUUAGAACGUCGUGAGACAGUUCGGUCCCUAUCUGCCGUGGGCGCUGGAGAACUGAGGGGGGCUGCUCCUAGUACGAGAGGACCGGAGUGGACGCAUCACUGGUGUUCGGGUUGUCAUGCCAAUGGCACUGCCCGGUAGCUAAAUGCGGAAGAGAUAAGUGCUGAAAGCAUCUAAGCACGAAACUUGCCCCGAGAUGAGUUCUCCCUGACUCCCUGAGAGUCCUGAAGGAACGUUGAAGACGACGACGUUGAUAGGCCGGGUGUGUAAGCGCAGCGAUGCGUUGAGCUAACCGGUACUAAUGAACCGUGAGG
rnacentral:rRNA from 1 species